UAUUUAAUAAGCGGAGGAAAAGAAACCAACAGGGAUUGCCUCAGUAACGGCGAGUGAAGCGGCAAAAGCUCAAAUUUGAAAUCCCCCCGGGGAGUUGUAAUUUGAAGAUUGCGUCUUGGAGGCGACCGUGUCUAUGUUCCUUGGAACAGGACGUCACAGAGGGUGAGAAUCCCGUGCGGCACGGCCCCCGGCUCCUUAUAAGGCGCUCUCGACGAGUCGAGUUGUUUGGGAAUGCAGCUCAAAGUGGGUGGUAAAUUCCAUCUAAAGCUAAAUACAGGCGAGAGACCGAUAGCGAACAAGUACAGUGAUGGAAAGAUGAAAAGCACUUUGAAAAGAGAGUGAAACAGCACGUGAAAUUGUUGAAAGGGAAGGGCAUGCCGUCAGAUUGUCAGUGUGGGUAAGAAGCGGGGUACAAAGACUGUGGAACGUGGCCCUCGGGUGU
rnacentral:rRNA from 1 species